rnacentral:rRNA from 1 species
UACGUAGGGUGCAAGCGUUGUCCGGAAUUAUUGGGCGUAAAGAGCUCGUAGGCGGCUCGUCGCGUCGGCUGUGAAAACCUGGGGGCUCAACCCCGGGCCUGCAGCCGAUACGGGCGAGCUAGAAUUCGGUAGGGGAGACUGGAAUUCCUGGUGUAGCGGUGAAAUGCGCAGAUAUCAGGAGGAACACCGGUGGCGAAGGCGGGUCUCUGGGCCGAUAUUGACGCUGAGGAGCGAAAGCGUGGGGAGCGAACAGG